CACCAGUCAAUUAUCAAGCUAAUUUCGGGAGGGAGUCAGAUGCUGCCAUGAUUGAUAGCCAGGAAAAGAAAAUUACUGUAAGUAUGGUUUACAUUUUCCUUAUUCCUGGCUAAUCAUGGCAGCAUCACUUAUGGGUAAUACCUAAGUUUAACAAACUAAUAAGGGGGAUAAACAACAUCCAUUACAACCGAGAUUGCAACACUAAUUUAGUGCAUUUGUUUGAGCUUGUGAACGGAAGACAAAACACCUCUUCCAAAAGAGUCCUAACCUCACCAUCUGAGGAAGGGGAUUUAGAGGUGAUUAUUUCAGCUGACUUAAAGGCAGGCAGAGAAUGUAAUAACAAGAAAGGAG